ensembl:miRNA
CCUCAGCCCGGCUCCUCUGGGCAAUCAGCUCAUACUGGGCCUUGACCUCGGCGAUGAUGCUGUCCAGGUCCAGGUUGCGGUUGUUGUCCAUGGACAGCACCACAUUGGUGUCAGACACGUGGGUCUGCACUUGGCUCA